rnacentral:rRNA from 1 species
GAUGAACGCUGGCGGCGUGCCUAAUACAUGCAAGUCGAGCGAACGGACGAGAAGCUUGCUUCUCUGAUGUUAGCGGCGGACGGGUGAGUAACACGUGGAUAACCUACCUAUAAGACUGGGAUAACUUCGGGAAACCGGAGCUAAUACCGGAUAAUAUUUUGAACCGCAUGGUUCAAAAGUGAAAGACGGUCUUGCUGUCACUUAUAGAUGGAUCCGCGCUGCAUUAGCUAGUUGGUAAGGUAACGGCUUACCAAGGCAACGAUGCAUAGCCGACCUGAGAGGGUGAUCGGCCACACUGGAACUGAGACACGGUCCAGACUCCUACGGGAGGCAGCAGUAGGGAAUCUUCCGCAAUGGGCGAAAGCCUGACGGAGCAACGCCGCGUGGGUGAUGAAGGUCUUCGGAUCGUAAAACUCUGUUAUUAGGGAAGAACAUAUGUGUAAGUAACUGUGCACAUCUUGACGGUACCUAAUCAGAAAGCCACGGCUAACUACGUGCCAGCAGCCGCGGUAAUACGUAGGUGGCAAGCGUUAUCCGGAAUUAUUGGGCGUAAAGCGCGCGUAGGCGGUUUUUUAAGUCUGAUGUGAAAGCCCACGGCUCAACCGUGGAGGGUCAUUGGAAACUGGAAAACUUGAGUGCAGAAGAGGAAAGUGGAAUUCCAUGUGUAGCGGUGAAAUGCGCAGAGAUAUGGAGGAACACCAGUGGCGAAGGCGACUUUCUGGUCUGUAACUGACGCUGAUGUGCGAAAGCGUGGGGAUCAAACAGGAUUAGAUACCCUGGUAGUCCACGCCGUAAACGAUGAGUGCUAAGUGUUAGGGGGUUUCCGCCCCUUAGUGCUGCAGCUACCGCAUUAAGCACUCCGCCUGGGGAGUACGACCGCAAGGUUGAAACUCAAAGGAAUUGACGGGGACCCGCACAAGCGGUGGAGCAUGUGGUUUAAUUCGAAGCAACGCGAAGAACCUUACCAAAUCUUGACAUCCUUUGACAACUCUAGAGAUAGAGCUUUCCCCUUCGGGGGACAAAGUGACAGGUGGUGCAUGGUUGUCGUCAGCUCGUGUCGUGAGAUGUUGGGUUAAGUCCCGCAACGAGCGCAACCCUUAAGCUUAGUUGCCAUCAUUAAGUUGGGCACUCUAAGUUGACUGCCGGUGACAAACCGGAGGAAGGUGGGGAUGACGUCAAAUCAUCAUGCCCCUUAUGAUUUGGGCUACACACGUGCUACAAUGGACAAUACAAAGGGCAGCGAAACCGCGAGGUCAAGCAAAUCCCAUAAAGUUGUUCUCAGUUCGGAUUGUAGUCUGCAACUCGACUACAUGAAGCUGGAAUCGCUAGUAAUCGUAGAUCAGCAUGCUACGGUGAAUACGUUCCCGGGUCU